GAGAGUUCCUGCCUCACGGAGUUGCUGAGCAAUCAAAGAAGUUAGUGCACAUGACACACUUAGAGCAACGCUGAGCACACAGCAAGUACUCACAGGUGGAAGACGAGGAUUCAGACCCAGGAGCGAGGCACGAACGUCCACUCGGGGAACCAUUUUGCCAGACUGGUCUUGGAGCCAGAGCACCAGCCUCAAACCUGCCUCCGCCAUGACCUGGCUGUUCAUCUCAGGACUCAGCCGCCUCCUCUGGAAGAUGGGAGAAUACCUUCUGCUCUGUAGGCAGGUCGGAGGACUGAAUGGCCUGACCCA
rnacentral:lncRNA from 1 species